GUAAAAUAUUUAUUUCUCCAGAGAUACUUCAAAGAAAGCAAAGGAUAUCUUUUUCUGGUUCUUCAUGACACUUCUCAUCUCUGCAUCUCCCUAUUCCCCAAAACUGGAAAGUAAGAAUCUGAAGCCUACUCUUUUAUGCUGACCCAUCACUCUGAUGCCAGGGCGUUGUUGAUUCCAGUUAUUCUUCUCAACUGAUCUCCUGUCCACAGCUUCCUUAAUGAUCGCUUUUAUUAGGACCAUACAUUUCAUAGCUAUUGUCAUAUUUUGUUUGUACGAAAUCUUAAAAGUUUGUGCAGAAGAGCCUUCCC
ensembl:lncRNA